rnacentral:rRNA from 1 species
ACGAACGCUGGCGGCGUGCUUCACACAUGCAAGUCGCACGGAAAGGCCCUGCUUUUGUGGGGUGCUCGAGUGGCGAACGGGUGAGUAACACGUGAGUAACCUGCCCUUGACUUUGGGAUAACUUCAGGAAACUGGGGCUAAUACCGGAUAGGAGCUCCUGCUGCAUGGUGGGGGUUGGAAAGUUUCGGCGGUUGGGGGUGGACUCGCGGCUUAUCAGCUUGUUGGUGGGGUAGUGGCUUACCAAGGCUUUGACGGGUAGCCGGCCUGAGAGGGUGACCGGCCACAUUGGGACUGAGAUACGGCCCAGACUCUUACGGGAGGCAGCAGUGGGGAAUAUUGCACAAUGGGCGGAAGCCUGAUGCAGCAACGCCGCGUGCGGGAUGACGGCCUUCGGGUUGUAAACCGCUUUCGCCUGUGACGAAGCGUGAGUGACGGUAAUGGGUAAAGAAGCACCGGCUAACUACGUG